rnacentral:rRNA from 1 species
GACGAACGCUGGCGGCGUGCUUAACACAUGCCAGUCGAACGGACAGGCGCGUUUGUUGCUACUCUGGUGGCGGACGGGGGCGGAACACUUGCGUAACCUUCCCCUGCCUUCAGGACAAGUUCAGCAAACUGGGGCUAGUGCUGGUUAGGAAUCCUUUCUUCAUGGGGGGGGUUGGAAAGCUACGGCGGGUUUUGGUGUACUUGCUGGUUAUCAGCUUGUUGGUGGGGUAGUGGAUUACCAAGGCUUUGUCGGGUAGCCGGACUGUGUGGGCGACCGGCCAUACUGGGACUGAGAGGCGGCCGAGACUCCGAAGGGAGGCAGAAGUGGGGAAUAUUGAACAAUGGGCGGAGGGCUGAUGCAGCAACGCCGCGUGCGGGAUGACGGCGUUAGGGUUGAAAACCGUAUGCAGAAGGGGCGAAGCUUGUGGUGACGGUACCUGAAGAGGAAGCACCGGCUAACUACGUG